UAUUUACAACUUUCAGCAAUGGAUCUCUUGGUUCUCGCAUCGAUGAAGAACGCAGUGAAAUGCGAUAACUGGUGUGAAUUGCAUCCAUGUAACUCUAAUUUACGAAUAACACCAAGUGAAUCAUCGAGUCUUUGAACGCAAUUGCGCCCUCUCGGUCGCUUCCAAUUGGGGGUUGACUCAUAGGGGGUACAUCUGUUUGAGGGUCAUUUGUACCUCUCAAAGGAUUGGCUUUAGAGCUAAUUCUUUGGAUUUGGGUCUUGCUGUGGAGUUCUCUCAGCUUACCUUGAAAGCAUUAGCGAGCUUUCUCUGAGUCUUUUUUUCAGAUUGAGGCGUUCUUAACGCGUUUACGUCUCAAAAGAAAGAAAGAACAGAGUCCUAAAGCCUGCUUCUAAUGGCCUCAUUUUUUUCAAUGACCUCAAAUCAGAUGAGACUACCCGCUGAACUUAAGCAUAUCAAUAAGCGGAGGAAAAGAAACUAACAAGGAUUCCCUCAGUAACGGCGAGUGAAGAGGGAAGAGCUCAGUUUUGAAAUCUGGCAGUCAUUCACUGUCCGAGUUGUAAAUUGAAGAGAGUGUCAUCCACACUGGACCAUGUCUAAAUUGUAAUGAUCCACAGUCCUUUGAUGGAGUAUCAGAGAGGGUAAUAAUCCCGUCUUUAACGUGGACUCCCAGUGUUUAUGUGAUGCAUUCUCUCAGAGUCGAGUAGUUUGGGAAUGCUGCUCUAAUGGGAGGUAAACUCCUUCUAAAGCUAAAUAUUGGCGAGAGUCCGAUAGCGAACAAGUACCGUGAGGGAAAGAUGAAAAGAACUCUGAAAAGAGAGUCAAACAGAACGUGAAAUUGCUGAAAGGGGAGCGUUUGGAGUCAGAUGCGUCUUCAUGGAAUAACGACUCAGUUAGCAGAGACUGAGGUCAGUGACUUGAAGAUGGGCCAGCACUCACGUAGACCAUUGAAAAAGGGGUCAUUGGAAUGUAGCUCAAUUUAUUGAGUGAUUAUAGCCUUGAUUCAUAUACAAUGUG
rnacentral:rRNA from 1 species